GGAUCGAUGAUGAUUCCCAAUAAAACAUUCCGUGGGGAGCUGAACAAAAUGAGUGAAUACUCAAUACUUCAAAUCUCAUCGAACCUGAGGUCC